rnacentral:lncRNA from 1 species
CCCCAGACUAGCAAAGCACUGAGGGAACCAGAGAUUGUGUUGGUACUAUUUUAACUGGACCCUUGCUCCCAGCAUGGCUUCAGUCACGUUGGGUAGAAGUUUCUCAUCACCCCAGGCUGCUGAGUAGCUGUUAGCAUUGGAUUUGGCCACUGUGGGACCUGUGCACCUGCCCAGCAAGGAUACCUACGCAGAGCCAGCCCGUGCUUCUGUCUGCACCAUCCUCACAUUGGUCUUCCACAGGAGGAAGAAGCUCAGACACCUGCAGUGAAGGCAGGAAGGUGGCGGGCAGGGAAGUCUUGGGCUUGUAGUCCGGCUUGGGUGUGAGCCUACAACAGAGGUAAACUAAACCAAGGAGAACACCUGACUUCUUCAAACAUUUCUUUUCUUUUCUUUUUUUUUUUUAAAUCAUGAAAGGGGAAAACUGGGCCAGAGGGAAAAGAUGGGACUGAAUGAUUCAUGCAGUGAGUCAGUGGCAGAGGGAGGAAGCCAAGUCACAUCCUUCUGGGGAAGAUGGCUCUCCCUCACGUGCUCUCCUGACCCCUGUACCCCUCUCCUGCCACCAGGGAGAAAGCUGCUGAGUCCUGGGCCAAGGAAGACCCCCAAGAGGAGUCAUGCAAUGCCCAGCUGCAUCACACCAGACAGAUCCAAAGUAAUAGUUCUUGCUAAAUCACAGAAUCACAGAAUCACGGAAUGGUUGAAGUUGGAAGGGACCUCUGGAGAUCAUCUAGUCCAACCCCCCUGCUCAAGCAGGGUCACCUAGAGCACGUUGCACAGGAUCGCAUCCAGGCGGGUUUUGAAUAUCCCCAGAGAAGGAGACUCCACAAAGCCAAAGAAGGAUUAAGACCUGGCACAAGACUUAAAGGGCCAAGCCCAGAGCAGGACAGAUGAUUAAACUACAUCCUUUCCUUCCCAUAAAUGCACAACUCAUACUGGACAAGUCAUGGACUAAGAGAUGGAGGCAUCUCCUUCCUCACCCUCCACUGAGCUCCCCAGACCCAUUGCCCCUGCUGUGUGCUGCCUCACAGCCCACCACUGAGUGGCUAGGACCCCAUCCCCAGUCCUCAGGAGGGAGUGUGCAGCCGCUGCCAGCUCUCAGGGCUAGUUUCAGCCCAGCCCUGGCACAUAGUGGUUUUACGUGGGCACUCACCCAAAGGGGCUUUUCCAGCACUGGGAGUCCCCUCCCCAGCACGCACUGACCCCUUUAGUCCUUACCUGCCUGGGUGAGAGGCAGUGCCCCCAGCAUGACAGGCAGCUCUGCUCAGGCCUUCUGCAUUGCUGGCAUGGGUCCAACCUAUUUGGGGUCCUCCUGUUGCCACGACACCAGGGACAUCAGAAAUGAGUCCAAAUCUUGCAGAAUAUAUCCUUACCGGCAGCUCUGGUGGCUAAAGCUCCCCUGUGACUAUGCAUGGAGAUGCAGGAGGCUGUAGUCACUGGAGGAAUAACCUCCUGCAAUUGAAA